GAAUGCUGACAUAAGUAACGAUAAAGCGGGUGAAAAGCCCGCUCGCCGGAAGACCAAGGGUUCCUGUCCAACGUUAAUCGGGGCAGGGUGAGUCGACCCCUAAGGCGAGGCCGAAAGGCGUAGUCGAUGGGAAACGGGUUAAUAUUCCCGUACUUGGUGUUACUGCGAAGGGGGGACGGAGAAGGCUAUGUUGGCCGGGCGACGGUUGUCCCGGUUUAAGCGUGUAG
rnacentral:rRNA from 1 species